GGCGCCUUGGCCAACGUUGCAAAGCACUUACCUGGACGGGGUCAACAGCCGAUCAAGAAGAGCUGUGGCCUAGAUCAAUGGCUCACAUUGCACCUUGUUGAGUGUGUUGGCCUACCAUCUCCCUACGGGGAGAGUGGACGUCAUAAUUUGUGCUAG
rnacentral:snRNA from 1 species